GACGAACGCUGGCGGCGUGCUUAACACAUGCAAGUCGAACGGAAAGGCCCUGCUUUUGUGGGGUGCUCGAGUGGCGAACGGGUGAGUAACACGUGAGUAACCUGCCCUAGACUCUGGGAUAACGUCAGGAAACUGGGGCUAAUACCGGAUAUGAGCUCCUGCUGCAUGGUGGGGGUUGGAAAGUUUCGGCGGUUGGGGAUGGACUCGCGGCUUAUCAGCUUGUUGGUGGGGUAGUGGCUUACCAAGGCUUUGACGGGUAGCCGGCCUGAGAGGGUGACCGGCGACAUUGGUACUGAGAUAGCGCCCAGCCCCCCAAGGGAGCCAGCAGCCGGGAAUAUUGCACAAGCGGCGCAGGCCUGACGCAGCAAAGCCGCGCGCGGGAUGACGGCCUGCGGGUUGUAAGCCGCUUUCACCUGUGACGGUGCGCGAGUGACGUUAAUGGGGAAAGAAGCACCGGCUAACUACGUG
rnacentral:rRNA from 1 species